AGAGUUUGAUCCUGGCUCAGGAUGAACGCUGGCGGUGUGCCUUAGGCAUGCAAAUCGAGCGACGGCCCUUCGGGGUACGGAGCGGUGGACGGGUGAGUAACGCGUAGGAACCUACCCCUUGGCGGGGAAUAGCCAGCCGAAAGGUUGGGUAAUACCGCAUAAUCUCUUCGGAGCAAAGAGCAUAACUGCUCACCGAGGGAGGGGCCUGCGUCCUAUCAGCUUGUUGGUGAGGUAACGGCUUCACCAAGGCGAUGACGGGUAGGGGGCGUGAGAGCGUGUUCCCCCACAAGGUCACUGAGACACGGGGCCUACACCUACGGGUGGCAGCAACUAGGAAUAUUGCGCAAUGGGCGAAAGCCUGACGCAGCGACACCGCGUGUGGGAAGAAGCCUUUCGGGGUGUAAACCACUGUGGCAGGGGAAGAAGAUCUGACGUACCCUGCUAGAAAGCACCUGCAAACUA
rnacentral:rRNA from 1 species